rnacentral:tRNA from 1 species
ACUUAAAUAGCUUAAAUUAAAGCUUAGUAUUGAAGAUACUAUGAUAAGGUUUUCCUUUUUAAGUA